GAUGAACGCUGGCGGCGUGCCUAAUACAUGCAAGUCGAGCGAACAGACGAGGAGCUUGCUCCUCUGACGUGAGCGGCGGACGGGUGAGUAACACGUGGAUAACCUACCUAUAAGACUGGGAUAACUUCGGGAAACCGGAGCUAAUACCGGAUAAUAUAUUGAACCGCAUGGUUCAAUAGUGAAAGACGGUUUUGCUGUCACUUAUAGAUGGAUCCGCGCCGCAUUAGCUAGUUGGUAAGGUAACGGCUUACCAAGGCAACGAUGCGUAGCCGACCGGAGAGGGUGGUCGGCCACACUGGAACUGAGACACGGUCCAGACUCCUACGGGAGGCAGCAGUGGGGAAUCUUCCGCAAUGGGCGAAAGCCUGACGGAGCAACGCCGCGUGAGUGAUGAAGGUCUUCGGAUCGUAAAACUCUGUUAUUAGGGAAGAACAAAUGUGUAAGUAACUAUGCACGUCUUGACGGUACCUAAUCAGAAAGCCACGGCUAACUACGUG
rnacentral:rRNA from 1 species